AAUGUCUUUGCUUAAUCACAGUUACUAUCAAUAUUCUGCCCAAAGUUGGAGAUCAAUUCCAAGUUAAGGAAAAGAAGAUAAAUAAGCCAGCUCUUCUGAAAGUGUAGUAGGAAUAAUAUCAUGGAUGAUAGUGCUGUCACUGCUAUUCUAAUGCUGUUGUAUGUGCAGUGUGAGGAAAAGAAGUAAAUGAAGAUACAAGAGUCAAAAUUUCAUGAUUAAAAGCAACUGAUAUGAGAAGACUGAGUGCACCUGACCAUUCAAGAGCUCUGUGUAGAGGCACAAUAAGAUUCAUGUGGUUUUCAUGUCUGCUAACACAAUAGCCAUUCUGCAGCCCGCGGAUCAACAGAUUUUGCACCAAGUCAUCUCACCGACAAAUCAUUAAUUAGAACCAGACAGCAAGAGACGCUCUCAGAUGCAGCAUCCCAGUGUCUCCACGGCGCUGAGAGAACAACUAAGGAUGUAUAAUGUGAUGUUGAAAUGGCAACAGACAGUUCAACACAGAUACUUUGAAAAUAACCAAUUCAAGUCUCAGAAAUUGCAAACUAGUGCUUUCAUCACUGCAUCUGCCCAAAGUGUGAUGCCAGUAUUUGGGCAACUUAGAAGAGAUGAGAUUUGGGGCCUCUGCGUGGCUCAUUUGAUUAAGCAUCCUGUUUUUGGUUUCAGCUCAAGUCAUGAUCUCAUGGGUGGUGGAAUUGAUUCCCAUAGGGCACCACCCUCAGAGGGGAGUCUGCCCUCUGCC